CUUUGCUUAGUUUAAAAAAAAUGUCUGGUUGUGGGGCAGGAGAUGGGCGGCGUCCCAGCAGAGAG
rnacentral:tRNA from 1 species